UGACACUGAUGGAUUUCCAUAGAGAUACGAUUGAUCGGAUUAAUCGUAACUCUUUGUACAACAGGGCCCAGAUCGUGCGAAGACUUGAUGAAAGAGAACAUUUUAGUGAAAUAUGUACUAUACUUAUGGGGAAGUUUUAUGUAUGUGACAUCACAUAUCUUGGUUGCAAUGCCCAUGGGAGGAUCUACAUAGUGAUAUUGAUCUGAAUAUUCAGAUGCCCAUAUUCAUUCAUUCUUCCUCACACAUUUAUUGAUCUAUUUGAAGUCAACUGGUCUCAAGGGUUUCGUCCUCUUUUAGAGUAAAAUCUUGAUAAUGUUUAUCAAUAUAAACAUGAUAGAAAUGUAUCAUUCUGAAUUUGUAAAUAAAUCUUUCUACACUUUUUUUCUAA